GAGCGGAGACGCCUGGAUUUUGAUGGCGAUCUCUGCAUUGAAGGUUGGCGAGAGCGAGCUAAUGGCAGUUCUCCGUGCCUCGCAAGUUUCUUCUCUCUUGACGACGGCCUCGAACAAGCUGCUACAUU